GUCGAGAAUCAUUCACAAUGGGGGAAACCCUGAUGGUGCGACGCCGCGUGGGGGAAUGAAGGUCUUCGGAUUGUAAACCCCUGUCAUGUGGGAGCAAAUUAAAAAGAUAGUACCACAAGAGGAAGAGACGGCUAACUCUGUGCCAGCAGCCGCGGUAAUACAGAGGUCUCAAGCGUUGUUCGGAAUCACUGGGCGUAAAGCGUGCGUAGGCUGUUUCGUAAGUCGUGUGUGAAAGGCGCGGGCUCAACCCGCGGACGGCACAUGAUACUGCGAGACUAGAGUAAUGGAGGGGGAACCGGAAUUCUCGGUGUAGCAGUGAAAUGCGUAGAUAUCGAGAGGAACACUCGUGGCGAAGGCGGGUUCCUGGACAUUAACUGACGCUGAGGCACGAAGGCCAGGGGAGCGAAAGGGAUUAGAAACCCUAGUAGUCCU
rnacentral:rRNA from 1 species